GUUUGAAUGAUGACUCAAAUUGUCGGAUACCCCUUCACCCCGUUCAUGGGUGAAAAACAGUAGUCUGACAAAC
rnacentral:snoRNA from 1 species